UCCGGCCAGGUCGUUACAUGCGUGCGUUCUUCCGAGUUUAACGCGUAGUUACAAAAGUAACUCUUUGAUGCAAUUCUCAUCCUUACCAGUGACUCCCUCGUGCUUUCUCUGCGAAAAUUCAUAGUUCCUUAAUUUCCUCCUCUAUUGCUCCAUCUUUUAUGUUGUUUUCUGGUAUUAUUAAGUUUUGCUGCGUUCUCUAUGGAGCUAUAAAUCGCAAAGCAUUUUACAGAUGCAGAAAUUAUUGAAGAGAUGUUGAUCUUCAUGACUAGCGCCAUAUACUCUUUUUGGCAGAAUUAUUAUGAUAUUGAGCAUCUUUAAGACAUUCCCCGAAAGAAGGAGAAUUGGAUAUUUGAAUGGGAAGCUGAUUAAUUAUCUUAGAAUGUUUUCUAUUUAACUUGUAAAAAUAUAUAAGAAUACUUUAUACCUAAUUUACCAAAAUAUCUUAUUGUUUUUCCUCCAAGUCUUUGUUGAUGAAAAGUGCCAUUGUUCAUCAGUGCUUGUGCUGCCAAGGAAAUUCUAAUAUAAUCUUCGGAUUCUCCAUUUAGAGAUCUAA